rnacentral:lncRNA from 1 species
CGUUCUCUUAGGUCAGGAGCUAAAAUCCCAUGGACGUCGGCUGAGGAACACCCUACACAUCGUUCAUUCUCGUUAGGAGCCCUGGGCUGUUUUACUUCUCCACAGGU